rnacentral:rRNA from 1 species
GUGGAUUAGAUACCCUGGUAGUCCACACUGUAAACGAUGAAUGCUAGGUGUAGGGGGUAUCGACCCCUUCUGUGCCGGAGUUAACACAAUAAGCAUUCCGCCUGGGGAGUACGGCCGCAAGGUUGAAACUCAAAGGAAUUGACGGGGGCCCGCACAAGCAGCGGAGCAUGUGGUUUAAUUCGAAGCAACGCGAAGAACCUUACCAGGUCUUGACAUCCAAUAAAACUUGUAGAGAUACAUCGUGGACUUCGGUCCGUAUUGAGACAGGUGGUGCAUGGCUGUCGUCAACU